rnacentral:rRNA from 1 species
AUCCUGCCAGUAGUCAUAUGCUUGUCUCAAAGAUUAAGCC